GGCCGCCCCUACUGGGAAGUGAGGAGCCCCUCUGCCCGGCCAGCCGCCCCAUCUGGGAGGGAGGUGGGGGGGUCAGCCCCCUGCCCGGCCAGCCGCCCCGUCAGGGAGGUGAGGGGCGCCUCUGCCCGGCUGCCCUUACUGGGAAGUGAGGAGCCCCUCUGCCCAGCCACCACCCUGUCUGGGAGGUGUACCCAACAGCUCAUUGAGAACGGGCCAUGAUGACAAUGGCGGUUUUGUGGAAUAGAAAGGGGGGAAAGGUGGGGAAAGGAUUGAGAAAUCGGAUGGUUGCCGUGUCUGUGUGGAAAGAAGUAGACAUGGGAGACUUUUCAUUUUGUUCUGUACUAAGAAAAAUUCUUCUGUCUUGGGAUCCUGUUGAUCUGUGACCUUACCCCCAACCCUGUGCUCUCUGAAACAUGUGCUGUGUCCACUCAGGUUUGAAUGGAUUAAGGGCGGUGCAAGAUGUGCUUUGUUAAACAGAGGCUUGAAGGCAGCAUGCUCCUUAAGAGUCAUCACCACUCCCUAAUCUCAAGUACCCAGGGACACAAACACUGCGGAAGGCCGCAGGGUCCUCUGCCUAGGAAAACCAGAGACCUUUGUUCACUUGUUUAUCUGCUGACCUUCCCUCCACUAUUGUCCUGUGACCCUGCCAAAUCCCCCUCUGCGAGAAACACCCAAGAAUGA
rnacentral:lncRNA from 1 species